GAUGAACGCUGGCGGCGUGCCUAAUACAUGCGAGUCGAGCGAACGGACGAGAAGCUUGCUUCUCUGAUGUUAGCGGCGGACGGGUGAGUAACACGUGGAUAACCUACCUAUAAGACUGGGAUAACUUCGGGAAACCGGAGCUAAUACCGGAUAAUAUUUUGAACCGCAUGGUUCAAAAGUGAAAGACGGUCUUGCUGUCACUUAUAGAUGGAUCCGCGCUGCAUUAGCUAGUUGGUAAGGUAACGGCUUACCAAGGCAACGAUGCAUAGCCGACCUGAGAGGGUGAUCGGCCACACUGGAACUGAGACACGGUCCAGACUCCUACGGGAGGCAGCAGUAGGGAAUCUUCCGCAAUGGGCGAAAGCCUGACGGAGCAACGCCGCGUGAGUGAUGAAGGUCUUCGGAUCGUAAAACUCUGUUAUUAGGGAAGAACAUAUGUGUAAGUAACUGUGCACAUCUAGACGGUACCUAAUCAGAAAGCCACGGCUAACUACGUG
rnacentral:rRNA from 1 species